UGGUACGAUCAUACCAGCACUAAUGCACGAGAUUCCAUCAGAAUUCUGAAGUUAAGCAUGCUUGGGCGAGAAUAGUUCUAUGAUGGGCUUGUCUUAC
rnacentral:rRNA from 1 species